rnacentral:rRNA from 1 species
GAGUUUGAUCUUGGCUCAGAUUGAACGCUGGCGGCAUGCCUUACACAUGCAAGUCGAACGACGCUAGGGGCAACUCUAGCGAGUGGCGAACGGGUGAGUAAUACAUCGGAACGUGUCCUGUCGUGGGGGAUAACCAGUCGAAAGACUGGCUAAUACCGCAUGACCUCGCAAGAGAAAAGCGGAGGACCGCAAGGCUUCGCGCGAUUGGAGCGGCCGAUGUCGGAUUAGCUAGUUGGCGGGGUAAUGGCCCACCAAGGCGACGAUCCGUAGCUGGUUUGAGAGAACGACCAGCCACACUGGGACUGAGACACGGCCCAGACUCCUACGGGAGGCAGCAGUGGGGAAUUUUGGACAAUGGGGGCAACCCUGAUCCAGCCAUGCCGCGUGUGUGAAGAAGGCCUUCGGUUGUAAGCAC